GGAUGAACGCUGGCGGCGUGCCUAAUACAUGCAAGUCGAGCGAACGGACGAGAAGCUUGCUUCUCUGAUGUUAGCGGCGGACGGGUGAGUAACACGUGGAUAACCUACCUAUAAGACUGGGAUAACUUCGGGAAACCGGAGCUAAUACCGGAUAAUAUUUUGAACCGCAUGGUUCAAAAGUGAAAGACGGUCUUGCUGUCACUUAUAGAUGGAUCCGCGCUGCAUUAGCUAGUUGGUAAGGUAACGGCUUACCAAGGCAACGAUGCAUAGCCGACCUGAGAGGGUGAUCGGCCACACUGGAACUGAGACACAGUCCAGACUCCUACGGGAGGCAGCAGUAGGGAAUCUUCCGCAAUGGGCGAAAGCCUGACGGAGCAACGCCGCGUGAGUGAUGAAGGUCUUCGGAUCGUAAAACUCUGUUAUUAGGGAAGAACAUAUGUGUAAGUAACUGUGCACAUCUUGACGGUACCUAAUCAGAAAGCCACGGCUAACUACGUG
rnacentral:rRNA from 1 species